GGUAUGGUGAGCAGCGAGGUAACGAUGUUAGAGCAAUGUCCUAGGUAUGGAGGGCAGUGAGGUAGCGAUGUUAGAGCAAUGUCCUAGGUAUGGUGAGCAGUGAGGUAGCGAUGUUAGAGCAAUGUCCUAGGUAUGGUGAGCCGUGAGGUAGCGAUGUUAGAGCAAUGUCCUAGGUAUGGCGAGCAGUGAGGUAGCGAUGUUAGAGCAAUGUCCUAGGUAUGGGGGGCAGUGAGGUAGCGAUGUUAGAGCAAUGUCCUAGGUAUGGUGAGCCGUGAGGUAGCGAUGUUAGAGCAAUGUCCUAGGUAUGGCGAGCAGUGAGGUAGCUAUGUUAGAGCAAUGUCCUAGGUAUGGCGAGCAGUGAGGUAGCGAUGUUAGUGCCUUGUCGUAGGUACG
rnacentral:lncRNA from 1 species